GUGCUUGCUUUGGCAGUAUAUAUACCAAAAUUGGAACUAUACAGAGAAAAUUAGCAUGACCCCUGCACAAGGAUAACACGCAAAUUUGUGAAGUGUUCCAUAUUUUU